UCAACCUGGUUGAUCCUGCCAGUAGUCAUAUGCUUGUCCCAAAGAUUAAGCCAUGCAUGUCUAAGUUUAAGCACUGAGUGUGAAACUGCGAAUGGCUCAUUAAAUCAGUUAUAAUUUACUUGAUAGUCAAACUUAUCAUUGGAUAACCGUGGUAAUUCUAGAGCUAAUACAUGCAACAAGCCUGACGCAAGAAG
rnacentral:rRNA from 1 species